AUGCCCAUCAGAGGCGCAGAGGUUAACCGUGAUCACGAAGGCGUGUUCCUCCGGAGUGAGACUUGGUCAUUGCAUGUCGGCUGAGUUGACUUGUGCGAUUAUUCCUAAUGUGAAUAAGUCGUCUGUGUAAAUUUUGAUAGCCGGGAACGGCGUUUGCGCCGUCCCUAC